UGAUAAGCCCAAUCGAGGAACAAAUCGUUCGAUGUUUCGAGCCCAUGAGGAGUUCGCCACCUGAGUCCUCCGAGUCCGACACGAAGAAACGCGAUCGCGGGCGAAGGCGACGUGCGUCGAUCAAGGUUGAGAAAUACUUACCACCAAUUCUGAGAAGUUCCUCCACCGUGCCAGCAGCACAAGAAGUUCUGGAUCAAAGAAAUGUGCCAUCAUCUAUUUUAUGACUGAAGAAAACAUAGAGCCAACUGGUUGCCAAAGCAAUUGUUUGGUUGUUGUCUAGGCAACAAAGCUCAGUGCCAAGAGCAAUUAUUUGGAUGCUGUGCAGGUAAUGUUACUAGGUGGAAAAUUUUUGACCUUUGCAUCCAACAGCAGAAGGCAGGACUGCUGGCAUGGGCCCUCUUGUCAGCAAGGAAGGCUUCCCCCCUCGUGUCCCCACUGCUUCUUGUGGUCCUAUUGGAAAACUGGGCAUACAACUCGAUCAUGACUACAUAUCCAUUAGUACAUGGAUCUUCUGAACCAGCCAUGCGAUUGGAUAGUUGGGCGGUGCCUAUUUGUGGCAGGGAGAGGAUGAUUCCCAGUAUGGAUAGCUCAAGACUAUUUUACCAGGUGCCAGUUGAGGUCAUGCCAUGGCGGGCAAAUCACUAUCCAAGGGUGCUGCUGUUCAUGUGGAAUCAAUCACAUUGCCGUGAUGUUAAAAAAGAACCCAUGCUCGUUACACUUGUUUGGUCGUGCCUCUUUUUCGAGUUGGAUAUAUAUGAAUGUAGGUCCCGCCAAUCAUGAUCCAGGUUUGGCCACUUACCGUGGUCAAAGAUUGCAUCUUCGAGUGGAUCAGAGCAUUUAAACUGGGCGACUGCGACCAAAAGCAAGCAUCCCCGCCAUCAUGUUCCAUGGUUGGUGCAAGUCACAUGUCAUCGCAGGGUUCUGCUGGUGAGUUCCUCGAACCAGAUGCACCUUUUGACAGCAUCCAUUCAUGAUAACGAGAAGGCAUCUCACAACUCAUAUCUAUCGAGCUUCAUUCUACCUUAUAAAGAUGAUACGAUAUUUAUCAGUGCAUUAUGCUAAUACAGUAGCGUUUCACAAUGAGAUUUGUUUGCUUAUAAUACAAGAGAAAACAUAUUAUUCAUAUUGCACAUAUUGUUGUAACAACACCGGGCCAUAUAUUUAAUUAGUCUCAACCAGCUAGCUUAUUUAGAAAGAACCUGGAAUCGAUCCUGCCUGCCCUUUUAUCAUUUGGUAUCAGGAUCACUUUUAUGAAUACACUUACUCAUUGGUUGGAGAGAUUGAACUCGGCACGAAAGCCGAGUGGAAGCUCUCGGAUCAAGUUUCAGGUCAUGCAGGUGAACCGCAUCUGAUUCCGUUUGGCUUGGCUCGGUGACCCAAUCGUAGACACUUGGACAGCAUCCUACGUGAUGUGGACAUGGCAACUGAUCCGUGUGCCAAGUUGUACUGCAUCAUCAUCUGCCAUCCACGUUCCCUUGUCAACUUCUCUGAUCGAUUGCCGGCGUGCCCCGAGUCUUAUUCGGUGCGUUAUGGUGAGCGACCCCAUCACCCAUAUCUGUACAGCAGGAAAGGACAAAAAUGAGAAGAGGAAUAUAUACACCAAAUUAGUACUAGGGAGUGCAGAAAACGUUACAAUCCUACUCGCAACUGAUGGAUUUCAAUUUUUGACUUUAUCCAUUUGAAGGAUUUAUAGUCUUAU